UGGGGAAUUUUGCACAAUGGGGGCAACCCUGAUGCAGCGACGCCGCGUGAUUUAGAAGGCCUUCGGGUUGUAAAAAUCUUUUGUAUAGGAAGAAAAUGACAGUACUAUACGAAUAAGGUCCGGCUAAUUACGUGCCAGCAGCCGCGGUAAUACGUAAGGACCGAGCGUUGUCCGGAAUCAUUGGGCGUAAAGGGUACGUAGGCGGUUAAAAAAGUUAGAAGUGAAAGGCUAUAGCUCAACUAUAGUAAGCUUUUAAAACUGUUUAACUUGAGAGAUGGAAGUGAAAGUGGGAUUCCUAGUGUAGCGGUGGAAUGCGCAGAUAUUAGGAGGAAUACCGGUGGCGAAGGCGACUUUCUGGCCAUUAUCUGACGCUGAGGUACGAAAGCGUGGGUAGCAAACAGG
rnacentral:rRNA from 1 species